GACGAACGCUGGCGGCGUGCUUAACACAUGCAAGUCGAACGGAAAGGCCCUGCUUUUGUGGGUCUCUCGAGUGGCGAACGGGUGAGUAACACGUGAGUAACCUGCCCUUGACUUUGGGAUAACUUCAGGAAACUGGGGCUAAUACCGGAUAGGAGCUCCUGCUGCAUGGUGGGGGUUGGAAAGAUUCGGCGGUUGGGGAUGGUCUCGCGGCUUAUCAGCUUGUUGGUGGGGUAGUUGCUUACCAAGGCUUUGACGGGUAGCCCGCCUGAGAGGGUGACCGGCGACAUUGGGCCUGAGAGAGGGCGCAGACUCCUACGGUAGGCAGAAGGGGGGAAUAUUGCACAAUGGGCGGAAGCCUGAUGCAGCAACGCCGCGUGCGGGAUGACGGGCUUCGGGUUGUAAACCGCUUUCGCCGGUGACGAAGCGUGAGUGACGGUAAUGGGUAAAGAAGCACCGGCUAACUACGUG
rnacentral:rRNA from 1 species